UACGAAGGGGGGCUAGCGUUGCUCGGAAUCACUGGGCGUAAAGCGCACGUAGGCGGAUUGCUAAGUCAGGGGUGAAAUCCUGGAGCUCAACUCCAGAACUGCCUUUGAUACUGGGGAGCUCGAGUCCGGAAGAGGUGAGUGGAACUCCGAGUGUAGAGGUGAAAUUCGUAGAUAUUCGGAAGAACACCAGUGGCGAAGGCGGCUCACUGGUCCGGUACUGACGCUGAGGUGCGAAAGCGUGGGGAGCAAACAGG
rnacentral:rRNA from 1 species